rnacentral:tRNA from 1 species
GCGGGUGUGGUGAAAUGGCAGACACGAUAGACUUAGGAUCUAUUGCCGUGAGGUAUGGGGGUUCGAGUCCCUCCACCCGCA